AGUGUCUCUACAGUAUUUACCUCAGCUCUGUAGGGCAGGUAUCUACGGUACAGUGUCUCUACAGUAUUUACCUCAGCUCUGUAGGGUAGGUAUCUACGGUACAGUGUCUCUACAGUAUUUACCUCAGCUCUGUAGGGCAGGUAUCUACGGUACAGUGUCUCUACAGUAUUUACCUCAGCUCUGUAGGGCAGGUAUCUACGGUACAGUGUCUCUACAGUAUUUACCUCAGCUCUGUAGGGUAGGUAUCUACGGUACAGUGUCUCUACAGUAUUUACCUCAGCUCUGUAGGGCAGGUAUCUACGGUACAGUGUCUCUACAGUAUUUACCUCAGCUCUGUAGGGUAGGUAUCUACGGUACAGUGUCUCUACAGUAUUUACCUCAGCUCUGUAGGGCAGGUAUCUACGGUACAGUGUCUCUACAGUAUUUACCUCAGCUCUGUAGGGCAGGUAUCUACGGUACAGUGUCUCUACAGUAUUUACCUCAGCUCUGUAGGGCAGGUAUCAUGGUACAGUGUAUCUACAGUAUUUACCUCAGCUCUGUAGGGUAGGUAUCAUGGCACAGUGUAUCUACAGUAUUUACCUCAGCUCUGUAGGGCAGGUAUCUACGGUACAAUGUAUCUACAGUAUUUACUUCAGCUCUGUAGGGUAGAUAUCUACGGUACAGUGUAUCUACAGUAUUUCCCUCAGCUCUGUAGGGUAGAUAUCUACGGUACAGUGUAUCUACAGUAUUUUACCUCAGCUCUGUAGGGCAGGUAUCAUGGUACAGUGUAUCUACAGUAUUUACCUCAGCUCUGUAGGGUAGGUAUCUACGGUACAGUGUAUCUACAGUAUUUACCUCAGCUCUGUAGGGCAGGUAUCAUGGUACAGUGUAUCUACAGUAUUUACCUCAGCUCUGUAGGGUAGGUAUCUACGGUACAGUGUAUCUACAGUAUUUACCUCAGCUCUGUAGGGUAGGUAUCAUGGUACAGUGUAUCUACAGUAUUUACCUCAGCUCUGUAGGGCAGGUAUCAUGGUACAGUGUAUCUACAGUAUUUACCUCAGCUCUGUAGGGUAGGUAUCUACGGUACAGUGUAUCUACAGUAUUUACCUCAGCUCUGUAGGGUAGAUAUCUACGGUACAGUGUAUCUACAGUAUUUUACCUCAGCUCUGUAGGGUAGGUAUCAUGGUACAGUGUAUUUACAGUAUUUACCUCAGCUCUGUAGGGUAGGUAUCUACGGUACAGUGUCUCUACAGUAUUUACCUCAGCUCUGUAGGGCAGGUAUCAUGGUACAGUGUCUCUACA